GAUGAACGCUGGCGGCGUGCCUAAUACAUGCAAGUCGAGCGAACAGACGAGGAGCUUGCUCCUCUGACGUUAGCGGCGGACGGGUGAGUAACACGUGGAUAACCUACCUAUAAGACUGGGAUAACUUCGGGAAACCGGAGCUAAUACCGGAUAAUAUAUUGAACCGCAUGAUUCAAUAGUGAAAGACGGUUUUGCUGUCACUUAUAGAUGGAUCCGCGCCGCAUUAGCUAGUUGGUAAGGUAACGGCUUACCAAGGCAACGAUGCGUAGCCGACCUGAGAGGGUGAUCGGCCACCCUGGAACUGAGACACGGUCCAGACUCCUACGGGAGGCAGCAGUAGGGAAUCUUCCGCAAUGGGCGAAAGCCUGACGGAGCAACGCCGCGUGAGUGAUGAAGGUCUUAGGAUCGUAAAACUCUGUUAUUAGGGAAGAACAAAUGUGUAAGUAACUAUGCACGUCUUGACGGUACCUAAUCAGAAAGCCACGGCUAACUACGUG
rnacentral:rRNA from 1 species